rnacentral:tRNA from 1 species
CGGGAUAUAGCCCCGCAAUCUGCGGGGCACACGUCUGGGGGGCGUGGGGUCGUGUGUUCGAAUCACAUCAUCCCGA